UUAUUAAUUAUCCAAAGUAGGAUUGAAAUCUUCACCUAAAAUCCUGGAUUCAUAACCAUUCUACUAUACUGCCUCUGAGAGAACAGAAAGUGAGCUUUUCUGACUUAAAGGUUUUGCAAAUUCUUCAUAAAAUGAAGGAAAUGUGAAUUCAUCUCCCAGCCCCUCAGCACAAUGUCUUCUCUCCAGUACGCAUCACAGCCUGGUUGUUUGCUGCGUAAACCUUUUGUUGGCUGCCCUUUCCUUAGGAUGGGAACAAAACCUUCAACUUGACCUGUACCAUCAGCCUGGGCUCUGCUGAUUUCUGUUCUCACCUCUAGUUUGCUUCUCUUCAGCCCACCUACUGGAUUAGGUCCCUGUCUGUCUCAGGACAUUUUGCAAAAUUUGUUCCCUUUCCGGAAAUGGUCUCCUUACCACCAGCCUCUAGCCACCACAUGUGUGCAUGCAUGCAUACACACACAACAACGUACAUGGUUCUUUUGAUGUGUCUUGUAUUUUUCCUUCAUAGAAAUAAUGUGUGAUUAUUUGAUGAAUGCCUGUCUCUCCACACUGGGACCAUCGGCUUAGCUUGGUAGAGUGGGAUAGCGGAGGUGUGAAACAAAUAUUUAUUGACUGAAUGAAUGAGCGAGUGAUUGAAUGAAUGUAAGCUCUCUGCUGCUAUACCUGGGCUGUGUAUGUUCUCACUAUUACAUCCAACUUGGUCCUGGUUUUCCCUUCUGCCUAUCCUGUCCUUCUAUUUACUGCCUACCAAACAGCUUUCCUAAACCUCUCAGCCCAUCCGAUUGUCAGCUUGUUUGGAAGUUCAUGGAGGGUGGGAACUGCCUCUUAUUUCUUCAGUGUUUGUCUCAGCAUCUAGCAAGGGGCCAUGAUCUUAAUCAGUGCCCAGUGUUAUCACUGAGUGAAUUAAUUUGGAGAACUAGUGUCUAUUGACCUGCUUUCUUCUUUUUGCAGACCCACCUGGGAGGCCUCAUCGGGUGCACAUAUUUCCUGCUGCUGAAUGGCUUAGGCUGGGAUUGGCAAGGAACCACGAAGUCCAAAGGACCUUUGCCUUUCUUUUAGAGGGAGGGACCAGCUGGUUCUUCAGUGUUGAAGGUCUUCUCCAGAGGUAACUUAAAGUGUGGGUAGAUGACAACAUGCUCAAGCUCUCACAGCUAGAAGAUGUCAGAGUGAGAACUCAAACCAUGUCACGUGACUCUAAGCCCAAAGCGGACUCUAGAAGGUUGUUUGAUCUUCUGAAGGAGGCACCGAUCACCAUUCCAACAUGAAAGAUGGAGAAAUCCAGAGAGAUUUAAAGGACUUGCCAAAGGCAAUGAAACGAGUGGUAUCUCCUGGCUCCCAGUCCAGCGUUCUUCGAAUAUGAUGUUGGCAGUGGUCUACCCAGCAAGUACACACAGCAUGCAGCCACUCCGCAUGGGAAGUUCUGGGAAGGAUUUCAACCAGCAUAGUUACUCCUGCUGGUUCAUUAGGACAACCGCUGAGCCACAUUCUGAGCACCUGUAGGCGGAGGUGGGACCCUACACAAAUCUAGGGCAUAAGGGAGAUGGGGACAUUAGAUCCUGGUUACUUUAACAUACUCACUUUACAGAUGAGGAAACUGAGGCCCAGAGAGGAUAAAUGCCUUGCUCAAUAUUAGCCAGUUGGUUGGUGGCAAAGAUUAAACCAGAACCCAGGUCUCCUCUCUCCAGCCAGAGUCUUCAAGCAGAGCUCCUAGAGAUCAGGUCAACUCUUGCUGCUGCUGCCAGUCUAAGGACAUAUGUAGCCACUUUAUCUAAAGUAUCUCAGAGAGCUAACUUUAUGGCAUUCUGCGGAAGUCCUAGCUUUCCUUUAGGGGAACCCAAUUCAUUUGCAAGAUGAAAAGCUGUUUUUAGCGUGGACUUUCAUUUUCUCCUAAGUGACUUACUCUCUCAGGUACCAUUUGGCCUUCACAGUGGCUGAAAAGACAGUUCCUGGGAAAACUUAGAACAUUUAAGCUUAUGUGUGUUGCAGUUCUCCUUAACGAGUGGAAGGGCAGAAGCUCAUAGUGGGUGGUGUUUACAAUGGGAGGAGGGAGACACGGGAGCCAGCCAGGGAAUCAGGACUAGGUAAUGUUCCUGUCAUGUGGGAUUUGUUCAGUUGCAAGUGAGAAAAAAGCUAAACUUAAACUAGACCUUAAAAAGAAUUAUUAUCUCAUUUAAGAACUACCACAACUCCUUCAGGCACAGCUUGAUCUAGGGAUUUAAAUCAUGUCAAAUAAUUUAAACUACAUUCUUUCCCUCCAGUUGUGGUGGAGACCUUUGGGGAUCAUUCUUGAGUAGUUCUUACCUUCUGGGCCACAUUGGAUGGCCAUAUUUCCCUGCCCCUUUGAGUUUAGGUGAGUCACAUGACAACUUCUAGUCAAUAAAAUGAGUGUGAGACGUUGCUGAAUGAGACAACUGAAUGAGACAUUACAGGAUGGAGAUCGCCUGUAAUGUUGAGAUGGCGCCAUUACAGGAUGGAGAGCACCUGAACCCCCAAGUUAUGGAAGAGAAGAAGACAGUUGCCCUGGAAAAUCAUCUGACCCACGUUGGACUUUAUGAGAGGGGGAAAUAAGCCUUUAUUGUGUUAAGCGACAGAAUAAUAAAUAAUAA